CGCACCAGUGGACUCGUCUGCAGCCAGGAUGCCCUUGCCCGGAGCUACAAUUCGACGAGCCUGUGUAGCUGCGGACUUGGCCGAUGACAGGAAGACCCUGGCAAUGAAAGCAUCUAGAAGGUUCCAGUGACAAUCUGGUCUGACCCUUCCCAGCUCCUGGCCACACACUUCAGGACAGGCAUGGCCCUGUUAUUCCUCCUGGGGUGUGCCUUCUUCCCACUGUGCUUUGCUGUCUUCUGCUGGGGACUGCAGAACCAAACCAGUUUGCGGAUGGAGAGGCAAGAGGCCGUCUUGGUGGCGUCCAAGCUGGUGUCCUCUGUCCAAGCCAUCAUGGCCUCCACAGCUGGCUACAUAGUCUCCACAUCCUGCAAGCACAUCAUAGAUGACCAGCACUGGCUGUCCUCGGCCUACACACAGUUUGCAGUUCCCUACUUCAUCUACGACAUCUAUGCCAU
rnacentral:lncRNA from 1 species